GAUGAACGCUAGCGGCAGGCCUAACACAUGCAAGUCGAGGGGGAGGUUACUUUCGGGUAACUGAGACCGGCGUACGGGUGCGUAACGCGUAUACAAUCUCCCUUUCACUGGGGGAUAGCCCGAAGAAAUUUGGAUUAAUACCCCAUAGUAUAGUAAUACGGCAUCGUGAUGCUAUUAAAGCUUAGGUGGUGAAAGAUGAGUAUGCGUUCUAUUAGCUAGUUGGAGAGGUAACGGCUCCCCAAGGCGAUGAUAGAUAGGGGUUCUGAGAGGGAUGUCCCCCACACUGGUACUGAGAUACGGACCAGACUCCUACGGGAGGCAGCAGUGAGGAAUAUUGGACAAUGGUCGGAAGACUGAUCCAGCCAUGCCGCGUGCAGGAUGAAGGUCUUAUGGAUUGUAAACUGCUUUUGUAAGGGAAGAAUAAGGGCUACGCGUAGUUUGAUGACGGUACCUUACGAAUAAGCAUCGGCUAACUCCGUG
rnacentral:rRNA from 1 species